rnacentral:rRNA from 1 species
UACGUAGGGUGCGAGCGUUAAUCGGAAUUACUGGGCGUAAAGUGUGCGCAGGCGGCCGCGCAAGUCGAGUGUGAAAGCCCCGGGCUUAACUUGGGAAUUGCGCUCGAAACUACGUGGCUGGAGUGUGGCAGAGGAAGGUGGAAUUCCAGGUGUAGCGGUGAAAUGCGUAGAGAUCUGGAGGAACACCUGUGGCGAAGGCGGCCGACUGGGCCGACCCUGACGCUGAGGCGCGAAGGCGUGGGGAGCGAACGGG